rnacentral:rRNA from 1 species
CCUACGGGAGGCAGCAGUGGGGAAUAUUGGGCAAUGGGCGCAAGCCUGACCCAGCAACGCCGCGUGAAGGAAGAAGGCUUUCGGGUUGUAAACUUCUUUUGUCAGGGACGAAGCAAGUGACGGUACCUGACGAAUAAGCCACGGCUAACUACGUGCCAGCAGCCGCGGUAAUACGUAGGUGGCAAGCGUUAUCCGGAUUUAUUGGGUGUAAAGGGCGUGUAGGCGGGAAUGCAAGUCAGAUGUGAAAACUAUGGGCUCAACCCAUAGCCUGCAUUUGAAACUGUAUUUCUUGAGUGCUGGAGAGGCAAUCGGAAUUCCGUGUGUAGCGGUGAAAUGCGUAGAUAUACGGAGGAACACCAGUGGCGAAGGCGGAUUGCUGGACAGUAACUGACGCUGAGGCACGAAAGCGUGGGUAUCGAACAGGAUUAGAUACCCCUGUAGUC